rnacentral:rRNA from 1 species
GUGGGGAAUAUUGGGCAAUGGGCGCAAGCCUGAUCCAGCCAUGCCGCGUGCAGGAAGACGCAUCUAUGGUGUGUAAACUGCUUUUGUACGGGAAGAAACACUCCCUCGUGAGGGAGCUUGACGGUACCGUAAGAAUAAGGAUCGGCUAACUCCGUGCCAGCAGCCGCGGUAAUACGGAGGAUCCAAGCGUUAUCCGGAAUCAUUGGGUUUAAAGGGUCCGUAGGCGGUUUAAUAAGUCAGUGGUGAAAGCCCAUCGCUCAACGAUGGAACGGCCAUUGAUACUGUUAGACUUGAAUUACAAGGAAGUAACUAGAAUAUGUAGUGUAGCGGUGAAAUGCUUAGAUAUUACAUGGAAUACCAAUUGCGAAGGCAGGUUACUACUUGUGGAUUGACGCUGAUGGACGAAAGCGUGGGGAGCGAACAGGAUUAGAAACCCGUGUAGUCC